rnacentral:rRNA from 1 species
CCUACGGGAGGCAGCAGUGGGGGAUAUUGCACAAUGGGGGGAACCCUGAUGCAGCGACGCCGCGUGGGUGAAGGAGUGCUUCGGCAUGUAAAGCCCUAUCGGCAGGGAAGAGGCAAGACGGUACCUGACUAAGAAACCCCGGCUAACUACGGUCCAGCAGCCGCGGUAAUACGUAGGGGGCGAGCGUUAUCCGGAUUCACUGGGUGUAAAGGGAGGGUCGACGGCCAUGCAAGCCAGGGGUGAAAGCCCGGGGCCGAACCCCGGGACUGCCCUUGGAACUGUGGGGCUAGAGUGCGGGAGGGGCAGGCGGAAUUCCUGGUGUAGCGGUGAAAUGCGUAGAUAUAAGGAGGAACACCGGCGGCGAAGGCGGACGGCUGGACUGCGACUGACGGUGAGGCUCGAAAGCGUGGGGAGCGAACAGGAUUAGAUACCCCAGUAGUC